GCACCAAAGUGCCCCACAUUUGGGUUGGAGGUCCCCCAAAGCGCCUCAGAUUUGGGUUGGAGGUCCCCCAAAGCGCCUCAGAUUUGGCUUGGAGGUCCCCCAAAGCGCCUCAGAUUUGGGUUGGUCGCAGCUGAACACGGCUACAAAUCUCAGCACCUCGAGAUAAAGCAGCAAAGCGCCCCAGAUUUUGGUUCACAUCGCCUUCAAACCUCAGUAGUUUGGGAGAAACGCACCCGAACGGCCUAAAUUUGGGAUGGAGGCACCGAAACGCCCCCAAAAUCUGGGUUGGAAGGAACAGAGCGUGGCUACAGACCUCAGCACGUGGAGAAAAAGGACACUGAAACGCCCUGGAUUUGAGUCAAAAGUCCUAAAACGUCCCAGAUUUGGGUUAGCACUGCUACAAACCUCAACUAACCGGAAGGAGAAGCACCAAAACGCCCCGGAUUUGGGCUGGAAAGCACCAAAACGCCCCGGAUUUGGGCUGGAAAGCACCAAAACGCCCCGGAUUUGGGCUGGAAAGCACCAAAACGCCCCGGAUUUGGGCUGGAAAGACACCAAAACGCCCUGGAUUUGGGGGACCAAAGCACCAAAACACCUUGGAUUAGGGGAUAAAUACAUCAAAACGCCCAGGAUUUGGGGGAUAAAGGCACCAAAACACCCCUGAUUUGAGAUAAAGGCACCAAAGUGCCCUGAAUUUUGGGACACCAGCACCAGAAUGUCCAAGAUUUGGGAUAAAGGCACCAAAACGCCCUGGACUUUGGGGACAAAGGCACGAAAACAACCCAGGUUUUAGGAUAAAGGCACCAAAAUGUCCUGGAUUCAGGGACAUCAGCACCAUAAGAUCCCAAAUUUGGGAUAAAGGCACCAAAACGACCCGGAUUUGACACACUGGCACCAAAACACGCUGGAUUUGGGAGACAAAGGAACCAAAACGGCCCAGAUUUUAGGGUAAAGGCACCAAAAUGCCCUAGAUUUGGGAUAGAGGCUACAAAACGCUCUGGAUUUUGGGGACAAAGGCACCAAAACGCCUCAGAUUUUGGCAACAAAGGCAUCAGAAUGGCCCAGGCUUGGGGAGACGGGCACCAGAAUGGCCCAGAUUCAGGGACAAAGGCACCAAAACAGCUCGGAUUCGGGAUAAAGAUACCAAAAUAUCCUGGAUUUUGGGGACAAAGGCACCAAAAUGCCCUGGAUUUGGGAUAAAGGCACCAAAACGCCCUGGAUUCAGGGACAAAGGCACCAUAACAUCCCAAAUUUGGGAUAAAGGCACCAAAAUGACCUGGAUUUUGGGGACAAAGGCACCAAAAUGGCUCAGAUUCGGGAUAAAGACACCAAAACAUCCUUAAUUUGGGGGACAAAGGCAGCAAAAUGGCCCGGAUUCGGGAUAAAGACACCAAAAUAUCCUGGAUUUUGGGGACAAAGGCACCAAAACGGCCCAGAUUCGGGAUAAAGGCACCCAAACAGCCUAGGUUUUAGGAUAAAGGCACCAAAACGUUCUGGAUUCAGGGACAUCAGCACCAUAACAUCCCAAAUUUGGGAUAAAGGCACCAAAAUGACCUGGAUUUUGGGGACAAAGGCACCAGAACGACCCGGAUUCGUGAUAAGGACACCAAAACAUCCUGAAUUUUGGGGACAAAGGCACCAAAAUGGCCCGGAUUUGGGAUAAA
ensembl:lncRNA